AGAUCAUGAUGUGGACGGCUCCUCAAUAAAUCCUUAAACUAUUCCCAACAAUCACAGAAAGUUUCAUUCUCCUAUUGAAGAAAUCCUGCUAUAUCAUUUCUCAACUU
rfam:Ricinus communis cultivar Hale ctg_1100012360264, whole genome shotgun sequence.